UCCAGACUAAACAAUCCCAGUUUCCUCAGCUGCUCCUCAUAAGACUUGUGUUCCAGACCCCUCACUGGCUUUACUGCCUUUCACUGAACAUGCUCCAGGGCCUCAAUGUCUUUCUUGUGGUGACAGCUCCGAAAGUGAACACAGUACUCAAGGUACCUGAGAUAUUAAACUGGACAUGAUGCAACUUUUUCUGCAUGAAGGAAUUCACUUACACACCUCUGCUUCAUACGAACUUCCACGUCAGACACCAUUUUGCCACACUACUCCUCUGCUGCCAUCUGCCACACGGCAACAAAACGUAACAGAAUGUUGGCACCUCUACUGCCAUACCACCAACAUAAACCUCUGAUGUUGUGGGUCAACAUAAUAAAUAGGAGGUAUUACUUUCAGAAUAGCCUUUCUAUUUUGAAGCAGAGAUACAAAAGCUCAUGGUCAUGGUUUUCCAUAGGUAUUCCAUACCAUAACAUCAUGCAGUGAACUGUCAAGAGUUGAAAUGGCUGUCAGGAGCUACAGUUUCCAGCAGCUUUUGUUGUGCCCACAUGGUUUCUGGGAGGCAAGGAAUAAUACUGCUGUGAAAUGCAAGACUGGACAACUGAAUUGAAAUACUUUAAAACAUGUGCAUCAACACACGGAAAGUCCCGGCACACCAGAUUUGAAAAAUAUCAACAAAAAAUUCAGAUCAAAGAAAAACAAAGGAGGCCAGAAUGACACUUUAUAACAGUAUGGAAAUCAGUACUAUACUUGGCAGAUAUCAGCUCUACUGACAGAUUUUAUAUAAAUAACAAGAAUGUUUAUCACUGACAUCACCCUGUUUCUGCACCCUGCUUUGUUUGCUAUUAUGGCUACUUUUGACAUUUAGAACUGAAAUAACCGAUGAGGAUUUAUCCCAUGAAUGAUCCAAGCACAUAAUCUGAUUAAAAUACAGGAACUGUAAAUAUUUUCAUCUUUGCUCAUCCAUUUUCAAAGCAAUUUUGCUAGU